GUGCUAAGGUAGCAUAAUAAUUUGUCCUUUAAAUAAGGACCAGAACAAAAGAUUUGACAUUUCAAUUUAUUUAUUUAUUUUUACAAAUAAAAUUUCCUUAAAAUGUAAAAAAGCAUUUCUGAAAAAGAAAGACGACAAGACCCUAUCGAACUUAACUUUAGUUAAACUGGGGUAGUUUCUUAAUUAUUAUUUUAAAUUAAAUUUAAUUCAUAAAAAUCCAAUAAGUAUUGAUAAUUCAGUUACCAUAGGGAUAACAGCAUAAUUAUUUUAUAAAGUUCUUAUAUAAAAAAUAGAUUACGACCUCGAUGUUGAAUUAAUAACCUAAUUAAGGUAAAUCUUUAAUAAGGAAGUCUGUUCGACUUUUAAAAAAUUACAUGAUUUGAGUUCAGACCGGUGUAAGCCAGGUCGGUUUCCAUCUUCUACUAAAUUUCUUGUAGUACGAAAGGACCUAAGAAUAUAAUUUCAUUAUCUUUUUAGCAAAAAAAUGCAUUAGAAUUAGAAUCUAAAAAAACUUUA
rnacentral:rRNA from 1 species